rnacentral:lncRNA from 1 species
UGCUGUGAAUAUUUGUUUUCAGAUUGGGAGAAUGAAAUGAUAAACCAUAGAAGAGGAUAAAAUAAUUGCAAAGCAUAUAUUUUUAAAAAGCUUGUAUACAGACUGUAUGAAGAACCCUUAAGAUUCAAUAAUGACCAAGCAAACUACCCAGUAAAGAAAUGAGAAAAAGAAUUGAACGCUCUUCACAAAAGAAGAUAUGGAGAUUAACAAAUAUGAAUAUGAAAUGUUGCUCAGUAUCAUUGGUCAACAGAAAAAAUGAAAACCAAAACGAAGUAUCUUGGCAUACCGAUCAUAGCACAAAUUGGAAGCUUUUAAAAGUUUAAAUGUAACACCUACUAUAAUAUGCAGAAAAGAUGAAAAAUGCACUACCAGUAGAGACCUGUAAGAUAAAUUCUGAAGUGGCAGCUCACUGCAGCCUACACUCCAAGAGCCAUGACGAUGACCCAUCCACCUGUGUAUGGCGUUUAUUACAUGAUGAAGUUUUUCCAUCUCCUUUGCCUUCACUGGAGGAAGUAUUGUUCUUGGCUGUCUUGCUUGGGCUUCCAGUUAGCUGUAAGCCUCUGAUACGUACGGCAGCACCCUGA